rnacentral:rRNA from 1 species
AGAGUUUGAUCCUGGCUCAGGACAAACGCUGGCGGCGUGCUUUAAACAUGCAAGUCGAACGGACCAGGGUCUUCGGGCUCUGGUGAGUGGCGAACGGCUGAGUAAGACGGCGCUGACCGAUCCGGGCGUGGGGAAUAACACCGGGAAACCGGUGCUAAGACCGCAUGCGCUCACUGUGCUUGCGGGCGAGUGAGGAAAGGCUUUCUUCGGAGAGUCGCGCGCGGGCGGGGCGCUGGCCCAUCAGGUAGUUGGGGGGGUAAGGGCCCACCAAGCCGACGACGGGUAGCUGGUCUGAGAGGAUGAUCAGCCAGACUGGGACUGCGACACGGCCCAGACUCCUACGGGAGGCAGCAGUUAGGAAUCUUGCGCAAUGGGCGAAAGCCUGACGCAGCGACGCCGCGUGGAGGACGACGGGUUUCGGCCUGUAAACUCCUUUUCACCGGGACGAGAACGGACGGUACCGGUGGAAUCAGCCCCGGCUAACUACGUGCCAGCAGCCGCGGUAAUACGUAGGGGGCGAGCGUUGUCCGGAUUUACUGGGCGUAAAGAGCGCGCAGGUGGCUACGUGCAGUCCGUCGUUAAAGCCCGGGGCUCAACUCCGGGUGGUCGACGGGAAACGGCGUGGCUGAUGAGGGCGGUAGAGGAAGCACGGAAUUCCCGGUGUAGUGGGUGAAAUGCGUAGAUUCGGGAGGAACAACCCGUGGCGAAGGCGGUGCUCUGGGCCGACCCCUGACGCUGAGGCGCGAAAGCGUGGGAGCGAACCGGAUUAGAUACCCGGGUAGUCCNACGCCCUAAACGGUGCCACUUAGGUGCGGGGGNACCGACCCUUCCCGUGCCGUUCGCUAACGCAUUAAGUGGCCCGCCUGGGGAGUACGGCCGCAAGGCUAAACUCAAAGGAAUUGACGGGGGCCCGCACAAGCAGCGGAGCGUGUGGUUCAAUUCGACGCGACGCGAAGAACCUUACCAGGGCUUGACAUGCGGCUUACAGCGGGUGAAAGCCCGUGCCCGCAAGGGGUGUCGCACAGGUGCUGCAUGGCUGUCGUCAGCUCGUGCCGUGAGGUGUUGGGUUAAGUCCCGCAACGAGCGCAACCCUCGCUGGUAGUUAGAUGAUCUACCGGGACUGCCGGGACCAACCCGGAGGAAGGUGGGGAUGACGUCAAGUCAGCACGGCCCUUACGCCCUGGGCUACACACACGCUACAAUGGCGCGGACAACGGGUUGCCAAGCCGCAAGGCGGAGCUAAUCCCCCAAACCGCGCCUCAGUUCAGAUCGGGGGCUGCAACACGCCCCCGUGAAGGCGGAGUUGCUAGUAACCGUGGGUCAGCACACCGCGGUGAAUACGUUCCCGGGCCUUGUACACACCGCCCGUCACGUCACGAAAGCGCGCAACACCUGAAGCCGGUGGCCGAACCGCAAGGGCGGAGCCGUCGAAGGUGGGGCGGGUGAUUGGGACGAAGUCGUACAAGGUAGCCGUACCGGAAGGUGCGGCUGGAUCACCUCCUU